rnacentral:piRNA from 1 species
UAUGAUUGCGUAAUUGUUUGA